rnacentral:rRNA from 1 species
CCUACGGGAGGCAGCAGUGAGGAAUAUUGGUCAAUGGACGGAAGUCUGAACCAGCCAUGCCGCGUGCAGGAAGACGGCUCUAUGAGUCGUAAACUGCUUUUGUACAAGGGUAAACCUGAGUACGUGUAUUCAGCUGAAAGUACUUUACGAAUAAGCAUCGGCUAACUCCGUGCCAGCAGCCGCGGUAAUACGGAGGAUCCAAGCGUUAUCCGGAUUUAUUGGGUUUAAAGGGUGCGUAGGCGGAUUUAUAAGUUAGAGGUGAAAUAUCCGGGCUUAACUCGGGAACUGCCUCUAAUACUGUUGAUCUAGAGAGUAGGUGCGGUAGGCGGAAUGUAUGGUGUAGCGGUGAAAUGCUUAGAGAUCAUACAGAACACCGAUUGCGAAGGCAGCUUACCAAUCUAUAUCUGACGUUGAGGCACGAAAGCGUGGGGAGCGAACAGGAUUAGAUACCCGAGUAGUC